AGAGUUUGAUCCUGGCUCAGGAUGAACGCUAGCGACAGGCCUAACACAUGCAAGUCGAGGGGCAUCGGGACGUAGCAAUACGUUGCCGGCGACCGGCGGAUGGGUGAGUAACGCGUAUGCAACCUACCCGCAGCAGGGGGAUAGCCCGUUGAAAGACGGAUUAAUACCCCGUAACACAGGGGCUCCGCAUGGAGAUUAUUGUUAAAGGGUCAUUUCUUUUUCAGGGAUGGUCCGGCUGCGGAUGGGCAUGCGUUCCAUUAGGUAGUUGGUGUAGGUAACGGCUCACCAAGCCGACGAUGGAUAGGGGAACUGAGAGGUUGGUCCCCCACACUGGUACUGAGACACGGACCAGACUCCUACGGGAGGCAGCAGUGAGGAAUCUUGGUCAAUGGACGCAAGUCUGAACCAGCCAUGUCGCGUGAAGGAGGACGGCCCUAAGGGUUGUAAACUUCUUUUGCAGUGGAAUAAAGUUUGCCACGUGUUGGCGAUUUGCAAGUACGCUGCGAAUAAGGAUCGGCUAACUCCGUGCCAGCAGCCGCGGUAAUACGGAGGAUCCGGGCGUUAUCCGGAUUUAUUGGGUUUAAAGGGUGCGCAGGCGGGGAAUUAGGUCGGCGGUGAAAUUUCGGGGCUCAGCCUCGACAGUGCCGUUGAAACCGUUUCUCUUGAGUGCGGAUGAGGUAGGCGGAAUUUGUGGUGUAGCGGUGAAAUGCGUAGAUAUCACAAGGAACACCGAUUGCGGAGGCAGCUUACUAAACCGUUACUGACGCUCAUGCACGAAGGCGUGGGGAUCAAACAGGAUUAGAUACCCUGAUAGUCCACGCAGUAAACGAUGAUUACUUGCUGUUUGCGAUACACAGUAAGCGGCGUAGCGAAAGCGUUAAGUAAUCCACCUGGGGAGUACGUUCGCAAGAUGAACUCAAGGAAUUGACGGGGCCCGCACAAGCGGUGGAGCAUG
rnacentral:rRNA from 1 species